GCUGCGAUGGACUAACGGUUAGGUCUCCGCUCUUUCAAAGCGGAAGAUACGGGUUCGAAUCCCGUUCGCAGUG
rnacentral:tRNA from 1 species